UAUAAAGGCCGCCACCCGCUACUCAUAUUUAUCUAAACGCCGCCACCAAUGACACCCUCCUUCUUCCUCAUAGCCAUUGAUGCCGACAUAUUAUUUCCCUAUAGCCACCGGCAAAACAUCGGAAGGUUAGUGAAAAAUUGUCAUCAAGUUUCUAUGGUUGAAUGGUGUUCAAUAAAGAAAGAAGAUUCAGAAAAUAGAUAUAAGUUUUUUUUUGUUUGAGCAAAGUAGACGAAUGUUAGUUUUUUCUUUUGAUUUAAAUGUAUAUUUAUGUAAUAUUUUUAUUUAUAUAUUCAACCACCCAAUGUUCUUAUUUAUUUGAUUGUAAUUUUUCUAUU